UACGAAGGGGGCUAGCGUUGCUCGGAAUUACUGGGCGUAAAGGGCGCGUAGGCGGCGCAGUUAGUCAGGCGUGAAAUUCCUGGGCUCAACCUGGGGACUGCGCUUGAUACGGCUGUGCUAGAGGAUGGAAGAGGCUCGCGGAAUUCCCAGUGUAGAGGUGAAAUUCGUAGAUAGUUGGGAAGAACACCGGUGGCGAAGGCGGCGAGCUGGUCCAUUACUGACGCUGAGGCGCGACAGCGUGGGGGAGCAAACAGG
rnacentral:rRNA from 1 species